GUGAUGCGCCCCGCUCCACAGCAGCGAAACGCAUCAGGCACAAAUAAAAGACAGAAAACAUAAAAGGAAAUGAGCCGACAUGAACGAUCGCUUGUUAAAGUGCAUGUCAAGUGUGCCUCAGAGUCUUACCCCACCCACGUAUCAAUUUUGAAAACUGCAACAUUAGUAGGCGUUGCCUGGAGGACCGAGAGGGCGGAGCCGUGGCAGUGACGAAGAGACGGCUAACUAGACGAAGCUAGCUCCCUUCACUCUGAGCAGUCAUUAGAAGUGGAGGACGUUUCUCCCCCUCCUUACCCAGACACUCGAGAAGAAAGGGACCAAGUCUAUUUGGAGGAGACAAGCGGACAUGAGCCUUAUUGUUUUGAGCUUGUGAGUUGCCUGAAAUUACUGGAACCGACCCAACAGACCCAUCUCUGAACGUGAUCCUCUGGUGUCUGCAGCUGGUCUCCUGCUGAUGUCGUCGGGAUCAGGAACUUCCAGAAGAAUGUGCCUUUCAAUGACUCUUUCCCCCUUAUUUGUUAUAUUAAUUAAAUAAAUCUCAAUUUA